rnacentral:lncRNA from 1 species
ACAGCCUUUCAAAUUUAAACAAAGCCAUGUCUGUGACCGUGGUUUGGAGUUAUCUAUUAGAGUCUGGUGGGCUCAUUACAGGGUACAAAACUGGAGGCAAUGUGCCCCUCCCACCAAGAAAUGGACAAUCUUCUAUUAGUGAAGCAUGGAGUCUCUCCCCACUUUGAACUGUCUUACUAUUUUGCAGGGACACCAUCAUGCUUAGAGGGCCAUUUUCUCUUAUUCUUGCUAAUGGUGAAGUACUUAAAAACAAAACCAACCAGUCAAACAGACCCUUAAGGCAUUAAAGAAGAAUGGCUUGAGAUGACACCCUUUGAACUCUGGGAAGAUGAGUGAGACCAUCUUGAGACUGGGCUAUAAGGGACUGUUACUGCCACAGCCUGUUGAGAAGAUCACAGAGCUCUGAGGAAGAACGAAUCUGGCAGUAAAAUAAAGAUGAAGGUUGCAGCAGCCUCAAAGAUCUCUUAGAUCCACACCUAAUCCUCAGAAACUUGUUCUGGGGAAGGAGAGCUUGGACAAGAGAGAGAAGGAUCCAUCAGAUCCAUCGGAACUUUAGCCUUAACGUGGG